rnacentral:lncRNA from 1 species
CUCCUUUCGAGAACCGCCGCGUGGCUGGAGUCAUGGCGGCCUCAGCGGUGUCCGAGAAAGGCCGGCAAACUCCUGCCUUUGGCGGCGGCCGUUGUGUGGCAUCUGCGGCAACGGUGAGACGCAGACCUGCAGGUUGAACCUUAAAAGUGACGAAUGGAGCCUUGAAAUUAAAGAUGUUGGCUCUAGACUUGAAAAAAGACCCAUGAAAACCGUCAUCCGAAAACGGUACAGUGUCAGCCUCAGUUUGAGGCCGAAAAGGAAGCCCCGGAAGAAGACGCUGGCAGCAGUACCCCGCUGGCUGCCCUGGACCCAAGGCAGAAUUUCCCUUGUGUCUGCAGUGUGAGGCAGAACGGUUUUGCCUGGAGCAAGUGAAACGAUUCCUCUCCUGCUGUUACUAGUAAGCUUUCUGUUUCCAUCUUACGUGUCCCGAAGCAGCCCCGAGCAGCCCCGCAAGCCUGUGAUGGCUGGUUAUCCCUGUCUGAAAGGCUCGACUGAGGGAGAAAAUCUGUUCUGAGGCUUCAGGGUUUGGCGCUGUGCUCUUAAUGGCAGUCGAGGCUUAAUAAGGGGUCAAGUCGAACGGAUUCCAGAGGGGAUUGCGCUUACCCUGCUGAGACCCUGGUCCUGGUGCACUGUCCCUCUGCACCUUAAAGACAAGUGCCGCCACUGCCCUGUCAGGCUCUAGGUCCCCCAGUUUAAUGGCUCAGAGGGCACAGGCUGUUAGGGGGGCAGAAAUGGGCAAGUGGCCUGGAUUUGAUUUAUGCUCUUGUUGUGGGAUGAAGAGUGCUUGUCACACAUUUCAAGAAAAUGAAUGGGCUCUUUGAAACAGCCAGGAAUGGCCGACGUAUGCCCACUGUGGCAGCGAGACUGCUCUGGCAUUCUGACCUCUUGCCCCCUCUACCACAUCCUGACCUUCAGAAAAGGAGGGGUACCAUGGCACUGGCAGAGCCCUUUGGCUUCCUGGGGCUUUGCCAACACCAGGGAGCUCUCCUGCUGUUGGCGCUCCCAGAGUGGCAUGACUGGCAAGGGGCGGCAGCUUGGGCAGCAGGGGGCUGGGUUGCCCAGUACGUGAGCGAGAGAGUAGCAGAGUGGUGCUGGGCUGGGAUGGUGUCUGGCCUUGUUUGCAUUUAAAUGCCAGGCUUGACGUGGACACAUUCUUUCUUUUCUGUUGAAAUUGGGGAGCGUGUGCAGCUCUUAUGUCCAAGGUCACAUAUUUGUUCGGUCAGCAAGGAAGCUACAUUUAGGGUGAGAUUUAAAGAGCCUGAAAACUGGACCCGUAGCUUAAGGCCUGAGGUAAACCAAAGUGCGAAAGGACGUGUGAGUAAGUGGGGACGUCUGCCUGCUGGGGUACGGCUGGCUGCGGAGGGGGCUUGACUGCUCUGUGGGACGCACGGGAACCUUAAGUCUCUCAUCCAGAGGGGGAUCGAUGUGACUGUCCCAGGACUUGAUGGCUAUCCUGUACUGGCCACUGGCCGGACUCUGCGCCCUCAGCCCUGAACCCCAGAAAGGAGCGCUGGACCUACAUGCCUGCACUGAAUCAGUCUGAUUGUGCCUUCCACACACACGCAGGCCUAAUGAUGGGUUGCUUGGAAUGAGUUCUGGGAUCGCCGUUCUCUAAAUUAGUUUUUUCUUUCAAGUUAACCUUCACUUUUGAGUCAACCUAGUUGGCUGUUGCAUCAAAUGAUUCUUCUUUGGUUUUGCAGGUUAUCUCCCUGUGAUGCCAGACGGGAUCAGCACAGCCCCAGGAGCUAGUUGCUACUGCCUAUAAGAUACCCUCCCCCACCAAAGAGAAUCAUUUAAGGGUUUAGGAGUUGCUGUUGUGGCCCAGUGGGCUAAGAACCUGACAUAGUCUCUGUGAGGAUUCGAGUUUGAUCCCUGGCCUUGCUCAGCGGCUGGGCAUCCAGUGUUGCCCUCGUCUGUGGUGUAGGUUGUGGGUAAGGCUUGGGUCUGGCGUGGCUGUGGCUGUGGCGUGGGCUGGAGCCUCCAAUUCGACCCUUAGCCUGGGAGCUUCUGUGUGCUGUGGGUGCGACCCUAGACAGAACAUAAGAGUUACUUGAACUUCAUCUUUGGGAGUAGUCAGAGACAUUUUCUCUCGGAAGAUCUUGGGCAGUUAGUGAAAUUAGGUAGAACUAAGAACAUUCAGAACAACACGGUUUAGGUGUGUUGAGGUACAGCUCGCGGUGCUGGGACUGCAGCGGUGGUGAAGCGAAGGGAUUGUGAGAUCAACGUGUUGGGGGGGGGGGAGACUAAAGGGAAACAGGUGUUUAGCCGGAGAACGCGCUCCGUGGAUUUCCUAUCAAGUCAGUGGUCUUGGGUUUAACUUUGAAACAAAUAAAAAUUUUUAAAAACUGAGUUAAGAGCACUGUGGAUUUCAGCUUGAGGCCUAUGUCAAAGUUUUAUUCUGUGACAUAGCACGUUCUUAUGUGAAGGAAGGAUUCAGAGACUAAUCCUUCAGAGAAGGAUGCUCUCGGUUUUACGUUUUCCCCGAAGUGUUUUUAUACCCCCUCGAGUGGGUUGAGGGGUUUUGGUAACUACAGAUGUCAUGGGAAUAGGGAAAGAGGAUUGACAAAGAGUCCAGGCAUUGGGAAGCUGUGCCCUCUCAAGUUGCUGCUUGAGUUGAAGCCUAAAUGUCCAUUCUGUUAAUAAGUCUCUCGAUUAGUAAAGUAGCUGUAUUUUGAUUUCAUUUCUCUUAUUAAACAUGCUGAUAGGAUUAUUCCUUUAAAGCCACACAGGGGCCGGAUUUGGGGGUGAGGGACUCUUGCAACCAGCCCAGUGGAGACAUCCCCCACCCCUUUUGCUGUCUUGCAGGCUGUUGCCACAGACUAGGCAUCAGGACAGUAAAUCCCAGAUUUGCCUAAGGAGCUACAUGGUAGUAACGUGGUUUACACUUGCUACAGAAGCCCCCAUGGUCUAAAAUAAAACUGCCUGUCAGCUCAGAUUAUUGAACCCAUGAUCAGCAGCCCAUAGUGAGGGCUCAUUACCUGGUAAUGUCAUCCUUUUGGUGACAAGGUGGUAAUAGCUCUCCAGUGGGACUUUAAUCAGAGGCAAGUAGCCUUCUGCACAGUUGACUUACAUCAAAUACCAGAACCUUCCUGUGGUUCUUAAGGGGGUUUUUUGGUUUUUUGUCUUUGAGGGCCGCACCCACCACAUGUGGAGGUUCCCAGGCUAGGGGUCUAAUCGGAGCUACAGCUGCCUGCCACAGCCACAGCCACGCCAGAUCCGAGUCACGUCUGCAGCCUACACAGCUUGCAGCAACGCCGGAUCCUUAACCUGCUGAGGGAGGCCACGGAUUGGACCUGCAACCUCAUGGUUCCUCGUCGGGUUCGCUUCUGCUGCACCACGACGGGAACUCACUUUGGUUCUUGAAUGCUGAAUGCUCCAUGCUAAACAUCCUGCAUGGUACACACCUUUCCCCAACACACAGAGACAGUGGUCAUCCAUUUAUGCAAUUACCUAGUUGCAAAUCACAUUCUGCCUCUUGUGCUCCCACUUUAUCAUGGGGCAGAAGUAAGACGGUCCUCUUCUCGGGCUGUUAAGACAUGUCCUUGAGUUUGUGAGGCUGGAUGUGCUGGUGGGAGGAUUAGGGCUGGGAGUGUGCAUGUGCUUCUGCUUCAUCUGUUACCUGAGACCCUGAUUCCUGCUGUCACUCAGGGCCAGUGCUGCCUUGGAAAUGCUUAGCUCCGGAGUGCCUCUGCCUGUGCCUCAUGCCCACGAGGGCCACAGUCUCAUCUUGAGUGGUGUCUUGCGGCAGAGCAGUCAGUCCAUUGUUCCUUGACCGGGUUGGGCUGUCUCUCUCAGACCAGAGGGGAGUCUUGGGCCAAGGACAAGGUGGGAUGUCCCCGAGACACGUUUCAGUGACAGUUAGAGAUCCACUCUGUCCUCUGGAGGGGAGAAGGAUGUUGAAGAUGGUUGGAGCCCUUCAGGCUGAAAAAAACAAGCAGGCAAUUUUGGCCACUUGAGGGGCCAGGGGCCACAGCUCUGCAGGAGCAAAGAUCUUGGGGGGGUGGGGUCUCUGGGUCAGCGCUGGUACAGCCAGAGGAUGCCGGCCUCAUGCAGGUCCUUCCACAAGGUGGCUUCCAGGGACAGGUCGUGGUUCACAUAGAAUAUCAGCGGCUUCUUUAUUCGCUCGAAAUAGUGGUCAGAAAAUUUCCAGUAGUUGCUUGUGAUGAAGCCAUAGGCACUAACCUGGACAAGGACAGUCACUGAUUUAGCACUUACAAGGCCUCUAGUAGUGCAGACUCCUGUAAGGUGACAUGAAUUCAGGAAGCCUCCCCCCUCCCUAGGUGACUUGGUGAAGAUGCGGGCAAACAGCAAUCCUCACCUCUGGCACUGUGCUCUUUCUGCACCUUCUCUGACCCCAGCCCUAGAAAUCCUAGGUAGAUAUUACCUAAACGUGUGUGUCCAGUCACAGACUGGUGAGUAGCUGGGUUGGGUUUUGAACUUUUGGUCUGUGACACCAAAGUCGUCGUCAUUAAGCUCAAGACGGAGGCAGAAAACCCCUUACUACCCUGUUCCAUCAGGGACGGCGGACAAGAGACUUGCUACAAUCGGGAAAAGGAGACCAGCGCCCUGAGUAGCCUCCUGCUCUUGUGCUGGAUUCAGCGUGGGUCACUUUCCUUGGCAAUUGCUUCUCAACCUCUCUGUGUGGCUUAUGUGGGCACCACCCCAUCAACAGUGUCUCCUACAGUGAUUUCAGAGAUUCCGUGUAUGGAAGGCCACCCACCUCUGUUCUAGAAUGUCAUAAAAAUACAUCCCUGCUCACCUGUUUUAAGAAGAUUUUGCUUUCCCAAGAGCAACUGGGUAACACAGGCCUCAGCAUGCAGAGCAGCUGCCCUGGGCCAGAGCAGGUGAAAAGCAAGCCUGGGGAGGGUGGCUUGAGAGGAAAGGCAAGGCUGCCCCAGGAGACUGUCCUGCAAGGGACCCUGGAGAGCACUUCCCCCAGCCUGUUCCCUAGAAUAGAUCACUCCUGCAGUUGGAGACCUGGUGCCCCACAGGCUACUGGCCCGGAGUCCCAGGUCUUAGCUGACAAGCCUCAUGUG